GACGAACGCUGGCGGCGUGCUUAACACAUGCAAGUCGAACGGAAAGGCCCUGCUUUUGUUGGGUGCUCGAGUGGCGCACGGGUGAGUAACACGUGUGUAUCCUGUCCUUGUCUUUGGGAUAACUCCAGGAAACUGGGGCUCAUACCGGAUAGGAGCUCCUGCUGCACGGUGGUGGUUGGAAAGUUUCGGCGGUUGGGGAUGGACUCGCGGCUUAUCAGCUUGUUGGUGGGGUAGUGGCUUACCAAGGCUUUGACGGGUAGCCGGCCUGAGAGGGUGACCGGCCACAGUGGGACUGAGAGACGGCCCAGACUGCUACGGGAGGCAGCAGGGGGGAAUAUUGCACAAUGGGCGGAAGCCUGAUGCAGCAACGCCGCGUGCGGGAUGACGGCCUUCGGGUUGUAAACCGCUGUCGCCUGUGACGAAGCGGGAGUGACGGUAAUGGGUAAAGAAGCACCGGCUAACUACGUG
rnacentral:rRNA from 1 species